rnacentral:lncRNA from 1 species
GUUGGUGAGGAAGCUAGCUUCCCACCUCGGGAUCUCAGAUACCGUGAAUGCAUACACACUUUUAUGAUGUUAUUCCGCAAGAAGAGGAUUAUAUUUAUUAAAUAUCGAAUUGUAUUUCAGUGCUUUGGUAGGAGCAAAGAUGGGUGGAUUUGUUUUGUUUUGUUUACAUUAAACUUUUUAGUUGUUAGAAGGCAGAGAUGCAAGUAUUGGAGAGUCUAGAGAGCAUCAUUUGUUUUCAUUUAAAAUAUGCAAUUGAUUGUGAGUUGGGUGAUAAAUACUGCUAAUAAAAAGGAAUUGGGAGAGUUUCUGGAGCUCCGCGUCAGCGGCCUUCCAAUGUGGCUGUUCAGACAGGUCCAGUUCUGAGGAGGUAGGAGAUGAGCAGGAUUGGGCUGGCCGGCGGGGCUCAGCCAUGCUCGGGUGCCACAGAGACUCCACAGACGUGCAUCCCUAACACAGCGAGGUGCUGGUUCAGCAGCCAAGGAUGCAGGACUUUGCCAGUGCAUGCAUGACAGGGCUGCUCUGAGGGGAGGCAGUGUGGGUACAGGUCACAGGAGCAUGGCCUCAAGGCCUUGCCUCUUACUAUUCAUGAAAACACUUCCAGGUCUCUCCCGAGGUUAUCCACUCAAAGCAGGAAUGCCCUCAGACCAGAGAAUAGUUGAUAACUCUGUAACGAGGUGAAUGCCAGUCAACAAGAAUGCGCAGCAAUCAGGAGGUACACCCUACCCCAGAAACCAGCUACCAAAUCGAUAAUCAGAAUUGACAGGAUCACAGUGUAUAAUUACUGAAAUUCUUAAUAAUGACCAAAAUCCCCUCUCCCUCGAUAAUACACCCAAACUCAGUACUGGGGACUGAAUCCAUUUUCUUGGGCAUAUAGGAUAUGUUCACCCAUAUCUCUAGCCCUCUUUUAUUUUUUAUUUCUUAUUUUUACUUUGAUAUAGGAGCUCACUUGGUUGCACAGGACAGACUUGAAUUCAUUCUAUAGAGCAAGCAAGCCUAGAUCCUGUAAUUCUCCUGAUUCAGCCUACUGAUUAGCUGGGAUUAUAGGAUUAUAUUCUCACACCCAAAACUUGAUUAAUAUAUCUUUCUGUAUUUGUUGUAUUAUAAACUUUGAAUAAGUGUGUAACUUUGAUGAAGUUAGAAGACUCCAGAUGAGAAAGAGCCCUUUCUUGGCCAUUAUCAACAAAGAUGGCCCAUGAAAUGGAGCCCUUGGUUCCAUCUUAGCUGAGGACCCUAGGCCUUCUAUACCAUCACUUUUAGAUAUACACCUUGGAUGCCAUCCAAGGGUCAUUGUCAUCCAGUGUCCCUACCUUUGGGUUUUGUGACUUGCUCUUCCCACUGCCCUGCCUCUGGAUUAGGUGGUAUAGCCAGCCUUCUGGGAUAACUCCAGCCACGAUCAGGAUUAGACAGGGAUUCUUCAGAUACCCAUGAACAGGGUACUAUAUGUGGCAGUGACUUCCUACAGUGGUGGAAGGACUUUUGGCAGUAUCUAGAAGCAUUGGGUGGUACGCCUGGCAUCUGAUGGGCAAGGACUAGUGAAGCUGUUCCACCCUUCUCACUGGGCAACCUCUCCAGCAAAAAAACCUAGCCACACUAAGUGUGUCCGGGUCAGUGGCUGGGAGAUAGAUCCCUGUGCUCAGGGAUGACGAGUUCUAGGCCUGUCGUCAAAGCACAAAUUUGGGUAAACAGUAGCCAGCUAGGAAAUAGGGCUUGCUACCUAGCAAUGGUGCUAGGUCCUGCCAUUGACAACCCAGACGUCCAUCCAUUCCUCUCCAAGUCCUGUUUCCUUUGGAUGCUAGGCCAUGAUUCAAGGGCUACACACAGGACGACCCACUGUGCUUUCGAAGUGGAAACUUUGAGCAAAAGAUUCAUUCCUCCUAGCUCCAAGGAACAUGGACGAUGUAGGGAGGGUGGGGAGGAUGGUAGGGUGUAGGGAGGGUGGCAACUGAGCUGGCAGCCUAGAGCCAGCCUUUUCUUCUCCCUUGAGUGAUAGCAAGCCUAAGAUGUUAUUGUGCACGUAGGUAUUACCGCUUUAACUUUUACUGAGGUAAAAUAACACCUUGUCACUCAGCGCAAGUACCAAUCACAAAAUGAAUUAAUUGUAAUAACUGUUGUCAACAGAACAAAAGACUUGUUGCUUUUCUAAGCAGAUUUCAGCGCACUGAGAACUAUAUACAAACGCUCCCAUUGGGCAGGCUGGCGGAAACCAGUCAGAAUAUAAUUGUAUCUGUCUAUCUCUUUACUUUGUUUUUAAGGGCUAAGGAAUCCAGUUAAAAACCUAUAUUUUAAACAUAUCAAUAAAUAUAGCCCUUUUUGUGUUUGGGAUGUCUCC